AUGCAAAUUUGGAGAGAGAAAAGUUCGUUUCCUGGGUCU
rnacentral:tRNA from 1 species